rnacentral:rRNA from 1 species
CAGCAGCCGCGGUAAUACGUAGGUGGCAAGCGUUGUCCGGAAUUAUUGGGCGUAAAGGGCUCGCAGGCGGUUUCUUAAGUCUGAUGUGAAAGCCCCCGGCUCAACCGGGGAGGGUCAUUGGAAACUGGGAAACUUGAGCGCAUAAGAGGAGAGUGGAAUUCCACGUGUAGCGGUGAAAUGCGUAGAGAUGUGGAGGAACACCAGUGGCGAAGGCGACUCUCUGGUCUGUAACUGACGCUGAGGAGCGAAAGCGUGGGGAGCGAACAGGAUUAGAUACCCCCGUAGUCCCUGUCUCUUAUAC